UAUAUUUCAGCUUGGUUGAUUUCACCAAGAGGAAAGAGCGCCCCAGAAGGUGUUUGUAUACCAUAUAAAGACAAAGUGUACAAGUAUUGUACGCAAUUAUGUUAUAAGCUUUAGCUUCCAUUUAGAGUGUUAUAGCAUAAAAAUGAACUGUUGAUGCCUGGUGCAAGGCAGAAGAGUUUAAUUAACAAAAGAAGCUAAAGUAAAAUUUAUUGGUCAAUUCAGACCAAUUUCAAUCCUGACUGUAGAUGACAAGAUUUACAUGGAUUUACUUGCUAAAGGGAUCAGCUACAUAUCUACAAAAUCAUGUCUAUAGGACGGGAAAUUUUACAACAUAGG